AUAUGCAUAUGCAUGACGCUAAAGGUAAUUUAUGAUUUAAAAAGUUAUUCAGACUUACAAGUUGAGUCAUGUACUCUAUAUUUCUUCAAUGUCUCUUAUGUACUUAUUUAUGUGCCUUACAUACUCGGUACAUUAUUUGUACUAACAUCUCUUUUGCCUGGGGAUGCUGUGUUUCAUGCCUGCAGGUCCCGAUAGAUAGGUCGAAAGCCCUCCAAGUAGGCUAUCAGCUCAGCGGAAGAUGUUGGUGCGCUUCAUUUGCUUCGGAGUUGCUCGUUUGGUUAGUAUGAUUUAGACGUAUAUUGUUUGGUAUGGCGGGACUCUGUCCCGACCUUUAUGACAUUUAUGUACUCUUAGAGACUUGUAGACAUAUGUCGUGUACGUGAAAGAUUGUGCGGCCUUGUCGGUCUAUGUUUCAUAUUUAUAAAAGAUCAUGUUGGCAUAUUAGGCCCGUAUAUCAAGUGUAUAUGCUGAUGUAAUAAGAAAGAUACGUUACGGUGGUACUCAGUUGAGUAAGGUACUAAGUGCUUGUCAUGGCCCAUCGGUUUGGGUCGUGACAAGAAAUUUGUAAAAUUCUUCGUGGCAAACAAGCUCGCCGCGCUUUGG
rnacentral:lncRNA from 1 species